rnacentral:tRNA from 1 species
GGAGGGGUGGCCGAGUGGUUGAAGGCGCACGAUUGGAAAUCGUGUAUACGUUAAUAGCGUAUCGUGGGUUCGAAUCCCAUCCCCUCCGCCA